rnacentral:rRNA from 1 species
UACGUAGGGACCAAGCGUUGUUCGGAUUUACUGGGCGUAAAGGGCGCGUAGGCGGCAAUUCAAGUCAUCUGUGAAAUCUCCGGGCUUAACUCGGAACGGUCAGAUGAUACUGCUUUGCUAGAGUACAGAAGGGGCAAUCGGAAUUCUUGGUGUAGCGGUGAAAUGCGUAGAUAUCAAAGAGGAACACCUGAGGUGAAGACGGGUUGCUGGGCUGAUACUGACGUGAGGCGCGAAAGCUAGGGUAGCAAACGGG